rnacentral:rRNA from 1 species
CGCCUUGCCAGCCCGCUCAGAACUUAAAGGAAUUGACGGGGGCCGCACAAGCGGUGGAGCAUGUGGUUUAAUUCGAUGAUACGCGAGGAACCUUACCUGGGCUCAAAUGUAUGUUGACGUAUUCUGAAAAGGGAUACUUCUUCGGACAAUAUACAAGGUGCUGCAUGGUUGUCGUCAGCUCGUGCCGUGAGGUGUCGGGUUAAGUCCCAUAACGAGCGCAACCCUACCUUUAGUUGCCAUCAGGUUAAGCUGGGGACUCUAAAGGAACUGCCUACGCAAGUAGUGAGGAAGGCGGGGAUGACGUCAAAUCAGCACGGCCCUUACGUCCAGGGCUACACACGUGCUACAAUGGCCGAUACAGAGGGCAGCUACCUGGUGACAGGAUGCAAAUCUCCAAAGUCGGUCUCAGUUCGGAUCGGAGUCUGCAACUCGACUUCAUGAAGCUGGAAUCGCUAGUAAUCGUGGAUCAGCCAAGCCGCGGUGAAUACGUUCCCGGGCCUU